rnacentral:misc_RNA from 1 species
UGUGGGAGCUGGCUUGCCCGCGAUGGCGGUGGGUCAGUCAGUACAUCCAUGACUGACAGGCCGUUAUCGCGGGCAAGCCAGCCUCCCAC